AAUCCAUGGUUUGGACAUUUUUUGAGAAGAGAUUUCUAUCUCUCCCAUGCUUCACAAAAGGUCUCAUCUAUUCCUUGUGAAAAUGUUGCAAUAGUUGACUUGGCACC